ensembl:lncRNA
CGUGCGCUCCUCUCUAGCAGGCCUUUCACAGUAGCGCUUCUCCGGCGCCACCUGGCACUGGGGGUUCCUCAGAUUCCUGCGUCUUUGGCUGAUUCUAGUCCUCUAGUUUCAGUCCAGACUUGCAUCACGCUUUCACAUUUAGCAGGAACCACCACAAAGACUGAGGCUCGGUUCACUUGUUGAAUUCCUUUGCCUACCAGGCCCAGCAUAAAGCCGCGGAGGAGCCAGGCGCGGUCCACGCAGAUCUGAUGUCUUCAUUCCAAACUUGAGAUUCUUCUUGAAGGACGGCUUUGUUUUACAUUUUACAAUGUCUGAAACGCCUCUUGUUUUCCUUUCAUAAUUUUGCAGUUGAACAGUUCGUGGAGCGCGAAUUUAACAGAGAGGCUCGGUGAUGAGUGGCGGCUGAUGAGCGAAUCCGUCCACCUCCAGAUCUCUGAAGUGGCUCCUGGGCCUCUCCGAGCGCUGAAUAAAGAGACUUCUAGGUGGUCACCAACUCUUCCUCCAGCUGCGUCCCCUGCCUCACCCCGUACCUUUCGCGCCUGUUGGUUUUACCAAUGGGAAGACAUAUUUCGGGGCGGGGCGGUGGAGGCAAAAAGAAAGAGAAAGCCUGUUUCCGCCCGGUAUCGAACCGGGGACCUUUCGCAUGUGAGGCGAACGUGAUAACCACUACACUACGGAAACUGGAUAAACUCUCCUCUUGAACAAUGUAUCC